CGGCCAAGUGAUACUGCUGUGCUAGAGUGCGGAAGAGGCAACCGGAAUUCUUGGUGUAGCGGUGAAAUGCGUAGAUAUCAAGAGGAACACCUGAGGCGAAGGCGGGUUGCUGGGCCGACACUGACGCUGAUGCGCGAAAGCCAGGGGAGCAAACGGGAUUAGAUACCCCGGUAGUCCUGGCCCUAAACGAUGAAUACUUGGUGUCUGGAGUUUCAAUGCUCCGGGUGCC
rnacentral:rRNA from 1 species